rnacentral:rRNA from 1 species
GGCCCUUGACAUGUCUCGUUUGGUUUCCGGAGACGGAUUCCUUCAGUUCGGCUGGCGAGAACACAGGUGCUGCAUGGCUGUCGUCAGCUCGUGUCGUGAGAUGUUGGGUUAAGUCCCGCAACGAGCGCAACCCUCGUCCCUAGUUGCCAUCAUUCAGUUGGGCACUCUAGGGAGACUGCCGGUGAUAAGCCGGAGGAAGGUGGGGAUGACGUCAAGUCCUCAUGGCCCUUACGGGCCGGG